rnacentral:lncRNA from 1 species
AUUAAAUAUAUAUCUUGUUAUUAUGUUCAAAUCUUUAUUUUAGAUGUAGUUUGUUAAUAUGUAGCUAAAUCAAUAGCCUACGCGUGUUUUUUGUAGGUGACGUCAUGGGUUGGGGUAGUGGUUGGAGGUAGAGGAGGAUAUGUUUUUAAAUCAUCCGCCAACCAACCAGCUCCCAGGCUUGGUGAAUUGAUGGGAGAGCACCACCGGAGCGCGAGGGGAGGCGCAUCAGGCACGCGGCUCACCCAACUCCCACAGCUCAGGCUCACUAUAUUCAGCGGCUCCGGUGCGCUCGAGACUUUAUUCACUCCAGAGUCCAACACAGAGACGGACCUGUCGAGCUCUCUAUUCCACACUGCAAGCUAAGCACUCACUGGAUAGAACACACGGACAACUUUUUAUAGAGCUAUUUCCGCUGCUCUAUUUUUGGUUUUCAUUACGGGACUUAAACCUGGGAUUGUACUAUUUUAAAAAGACGCACUUUUUGUUGUUGAAAAAUGUCAUGGUCUUUCAUGUUCAUCGUUUAAAUAAUAAUAUUUGGGUAUAGAACUCGAAAUAUUUGAGAACAAGGGAAACUGUUACACAUGUUUUCCAACCUCUGAAGAAGACUUAACAAGUUAUUCGUUCUUGGGGGGUCGAUAACAAGUGCAAUGAUUGUCAAGGUCUUCUGUUGGGAUUGCCUUACUGCUCAACUGGUCUAAGGAGCCAGCCAUGCACUUUUGUCUGCUCUACUUCUGUCACGGAGAGAGGGCUCGGAGUGGCGGACGCGCACGAAUGUGAAUUACAUUGCAGUCAACUACUCUACUUCAAAGCACUUCAGAUAUCCGCAGAGUUCCCCAAACAAGUGUUUAGGAGUUGUACCGCGGGCGACUGAACGGGACUACUCACAUGUUCCUCUCCCCAAGGGAUGGUUCUUGAUCAUCCGCGGGCAGGAGCGACUUUGCGGCUCCUACAGCAGGAGACGUUUUCUUGUUUUGGGGGAAAUCGGAAUUAAAGGGAGAUGAGACCCGUACUUUGCUACUUCCUGCUCUGUACGUCGUACCUGCUGAAUGCUGUUGCUGAGGAAGUCCCGCAGGAGUUGAUAGAGAGACUGUCUCACAGCGAAAUCCACAGCAUCAGCGACCUCCAGCGGCUAUUGGACUCCGAGAUAGACGUCCCCGUAGGUGCGGGAAAUGAGGUCAUGGAGGAGACCAAGCCGAUGCAGAAGCAUCAUAAGAACUACUCCCAACAGCACGGCUACUCAGACCUGAAGAGCUCACAGAUACACAGCCGACGCAAGAGGAGCGUUGAGGAGGCGGUGCCUGCGGUGUGUAAGACGCGGACAGUGAUCUAUGAGAUCCCGCGCAGCCAGGUGGACCCCACAGCUGCCAACUUCCUGAUAUGGCCGCCGUGCGUGGAGGUCAAGAGGUGCACGGGAUGCUGCAAUACCAGCAACAUGCGCUGCCACCCCUCACGCAGGCACCACCGCACCGUUAAGUUUCUGCUCAGGCCCUCUCACCCUCUGCUUCAGACCGGAGAUAAGAGCAAACACACACCAUGAUGAUCGCCGUCCAGACACCAUUGUCCACUGUUUACCCACGGAAUACCUCUGCUACUUAACCUCCUUUUCACUCCCUCUAUCCCUGUUUUCUCUCUUCCUAUCCCUCAUUCCCCCCUUUUCCUGCCUUUCUAAAAGACACUGUUUCAAAGGAAGGAUGCUGAAUAGUGGAUGCUGUGUUCUCCCUACCCUCUUUCUUGCCACUCUGUGUCCAGUUCAGCCUACGUCUCUGUCUCACCCUGGGCUUAUGUUUCCGAGACGUUACGUCAUUGCAGGGCCCAAACAUUACAAGGUGGCCAAGGUGGAGUAUGUGCGGAGGAAACCCAAGCUGAAAGAGGUCUUGGUCAGGUUAGAAGACCACCUGGAGUGUGUGUGCACGUCACAACAUCACGUGACCGAGCACUCAGACGCAGACACAGUGGACAUAAGGUGAGACCCCAGCAGCAUUGGACUUCAGUGUGGAAGGGGCCAAAGAGAGGAUGCUGCCAUAUUUGGACUGCUGACCUACCCCCUUCCCUGACCCCACCCCACCUACCGCCUUUUAAAAACAAAGAUUACUGUAAAGAGAAAAAAAGAGAAAAAGUUAAUAAAAUGCCAAAGGUGCUUUUUUCUAUUACCGUAAAAAGUAAUGCAGAAGGUCUCUGUCAAGUGCAGCAGAACCAACCAAUCGAACAGUGAUGCGGAUGAGGAUGGUGAAGGCGAUAAAGACCUGGGCAGAAAAGAGAAGAGGAGGACAAGAUGGGUUGUCGUUUGUUUGGGUAAACAGGACAGUUUGACGAUCACAGAGAGAGAUCCAGGAUGGAUCAUUGGAUUAAGCCUUGAUGGGGGAUCUGUUGACUGGAUCCUAAAAGGACACAGAGAGGGACAAUCAGUGAACUCUUUGGGACGUGUGGAGGCUUGCAUGUUCCUAGCCGUUGGCCUAAGUGACACUUGCCUGGACAGUCAAUGACUGACAGAGAGAAAAAGAGAGGGAGAGAGGGAAAGAGAUGUUGAGAGAAGUUGUAGAGAGGUGUAGAAGGUACUGGUCGUGUUACUUGUUGUUCCGGAACUCUCUGUAAACUGUAGUGGAACUUGUGAACAUUCUGGAACUCAUAAAAUGGUUGCCCAUUUUGUUUCUUUUGGAUAAAGUGUUGGGAAAAGUGUUUGCAAUCAUCAGGACCUGUUGUUCCAAGCGGCUUCUCUGCUUCUCUCUCUCUUGGGUUUCCCUAUCUGCUCCUAUUGGGAUUGUGCCAGUCGCCAUAUACACUACAGAACGAUUCAGAAAGGAAGAUUCAUUCAUUGCUACUAAUAAACUAUUUAUACGUGUAAACGUUUUCAUUUCUCUCUCUCUCCCUCCAAGACAUUGUUAUGUUUUCUGUGACAUGUAAGAGUCAUGUUCUGUCUGAUCCUCUGGUAGUGAAUCUUCAUGUCCACAUGUUCAUGUAGUUGUUACGCAUGUUCAAUGUUGUCUUAUUAUGUGCCAGUAUAUUAUCUGAACAGUCUCAAGUCUAGUUGUAUGGGCUGGAAAUGUAAGGAAGCGUGGCGAGGAGGAGAUGGGGAGGACAGAGUCUGUACAAGUACAGGAAGAUGCUUUAUUUUUGUUAAGAAAAUAUAUUAUGCUUACUUAUAUUCAAGUAGGAAGUAUGUUUGUUAUUUCUUUGUUUGUUGUGGUUGAAGGCUUUUAUUUAAUCCAUGGAAACGAUGCAGGAAUGGGGGUGAGGAAAUGUAUAAGUCCCCAGCAAUGCACCCUGUUUGGUGGUGUAGGGCAGCCUUACAUCAGCAGUGCUGUACUGUAUUAUCUAGAGCGCUGGAUAGAGCUAACCUGGUCCCAGAUCAGUUUGUGUUGUCCUCCAAACACAUAUAGUCAUUGGCAAGACAGCACAAACCGAUCUGAGAUCAGGUUAGUGCAGAGCUGGCUGAGGAAGACUCAAUCUGGGGCAUCGUUGGACUGUGUCUCUUUAACCCAGUUAUCUAGCCAAAAGUUACACCCAGUAACCAGAGCGCCAUUAUACACAACAGAACACACACGUUCAGCAUGUGUGUGUGUGUGUGUGCACAUAAAUGUGUGUGUGAAACCACUUUUAACCCACAUCACACUCCUUUGAUAAGAUGGUACCCAGUCCGCCCCACCAGCACACAAGCUGUUCUUAACGAGUACAAAGUCCAUCUUGAAUGAGAGAGAGUUUGUGAACAAACCAACAUGGAUGGUUUCCUAGUUAAUCAAGCAGCAGUCUUCCAUUGACACGUUAACAACGAUGAAGACUGUUCCACUGUUGACACGUUAACAACGAUGAAGACUGUUCCACUGUUGACACGUUAACAACGAGGAAGACUGUUCCACUGUUGACACGUUAACAACGAGGAAGACUGUUCCACUGUUGACACGUUAACAACGAUGAAGACUGUUCCACUGUUGAUGAGUGAAAGAUCGAAAAAGAAGAUACCACUGUUUAUGGAGAGACUGACACCAAAUCUCUAACAACACCCUAUUUCCCGUAGAUUGCAGUGCACUACUUUAGACCAGAGCCACUGGCCAAAAUUAGUGCGCUACAUCGGGAAUAGGUUGUCGUUUGGCACACACUGAAUCAAUAGAAAGACCUGGGCACUUUUCCAAAAUGUCUCAGAGUAGGAGUGCUGUUCAUCUUAUUCAUUAUGAUCUAAACAGCUAAACUGAUCCUAGAUCAGCACUAAAUGUCUCAGAGUAGGAGUGCUGUUCAUCUUAUUCAUUAUGAUCUAAACAACUAAACUGAUCCUAGAUCAGCACUUUAUGAAGUCCUGGGUGAGAGACAUGUUGAGAGAAAAUAGAUGACUGUAUCUGCAGCUGCUUUGUGUUGUGGUAACAACAUCUUCAACUGCACUAUACAGACUUCCAAGGUGAUUCCAUUGGUGCUAUAUGUAUAAAGGAAAUCAGAAGAAGUUUCACCACCAUUUUGCAAUGCAUUCAUUUAUUCAUUCAUUGUCAAUAGACCAGGGACCAUUGCUUACAGUAACUAAAGAAACUGCAACAACACAGGCUAAUAGGAUUUUUUAUUUGGGCCUCUAUUGGAUAAAAACAGCAAUGAUUAUAAUUUAUAUAUUUAUGUUUUCAAUAAUAAAUACAUUCUGCUUAUCAAACUG